rnacentral:misc_RNA from 1 species
AAAUGCGAUACGUAGUGUGAAUUGCAGAAUUCAGUGAAUCAUCGAAUCUUUGAACGCACAUUGCGCCCUUUGGUAUUCCAAAGGGCAUGCCUGUUCGAGCGUCAUUUGUACCCUCAAGCUUUGCUUGGUGUUGGGCGUUUUUUGUCUUUGGCUCGCCCAAAGACUCGCCUUAAAACGAUUGGCAGCCGGCCUACUGGUUUCGCAGCGCAGCACAUUUUUGCGCUUGCAAUCAGCAAAAGAGGACGGCAAUCCAUCAAGACUCCUUCUCACGUUUGACCUCGGAUCAGGUAGGGAUACCCGCUGAACUUAAGC